rnacentral:rRNA from 1 species
UACGUAGGGUGCGAGCGUUGUCCGGAAUUAUUGGGCGUAAAGAGCUUGUAGGCGGUUUGUCGCGUCUGCCGUGAAAAUCCGGGGUUCAACCCCGGACUUGCGGUGGGUACGGGCAGACUAGAGUGUGGUAGGGGAGACUGGAAUUCCUGGUGUAGCGGUGAAAUGCGCAGAUAUCAGGAGGAACACCGAUGGCGAAGGCAGGUCUCUGGGCCACUACUGACGCUGAGAAGCGAAAGCGUGGGGAGCGAACAGG